UUCCAGGCGUCGACAUGAUUGUACUAGGCUUGUGUUUAGUUACGUACAUGUGUUAGCACAUGACGCGCAUUUGUUUGUACAGAUACUUUAAAGACAAAGAUUGACCUUUUAUUUCUCUUUGGUCUUUCAAUGCAUUCUAUAUAGGCAAGUGUACUAAGAGUCGGCUAGAGACAAGUUCUGAAUUGUUGAAUUGCUGAAAUAGUGAUAGUUUAAGAACCGCCAGAUAUGAGAGAGGGUGGGGGAGAAAUCAAUGUUAAUUUGAUAGGAGAAAGCUUGUAUGAAGUGGGAGGGGAUGGAGUGGAUCUGCUGAUAACUUUGACUUAGCCUCGACCAUGCAUACCCCUUUACAUUCCUACCUUGAUGAGAUAGGAGUCGAUUGCUAAGAGCUGAUGAUUGGAUGCUAGCGAUAUCAGGUCGGAUGGGGCGCUGGUGGUGGUAAAUAUUUCUUGUAAACAGCAAUGUCUCAACUUGCGCUGUAGUUUUUCUUUUUUCAUACAAAUAUAUUCUUUUGUCUUGUCCGAGUACAGGGGGGGGGGAGGGCGGAUCGGGAGUGGGUCCCUAGUAAGCUCAGCUCGAUAAAACAAUAAUAUAAGCAACGUGGAAGGGGGGCGUGACAGAGAUCAAAGUAUAAGUGUCUUUCGCUAGUCAAUAAAUUGUGGCGUCCCAGCUCAGGGUCCAUUCAGAGUGCGAUCGACGUUCGAACUUGUGGCUCGGAGUGAGGAGACUCCAAGCAAGCUGGCUGUGCGACUUGCUGGACACUCCAGUUGGUAUUCACUUGGUGUGGAAGGAAGUUUUGCUUGAUAUAUGUCAGCCUUUUCUCUCUCCGUCUGUGUCUCUUGUUGUCUCUGAUGUAUUGUAAGUGAAAUCAAGGAGACAUUCUUGUGCAAGUCUUUAUGUCUUGAAUUUAUUAUUGGACACAAUUUCAAGGUGCUGCAUUUAAUCUUUUUGUCGGAUCAGUUUGAAGUUGUUCACUUUUAUCUGUAGACCGAUUUGUUCUGGCUAAUAAGUUCUGUAACAAUUUAAAAAUAGUUCGCUGACAACAGAGAUUGUGUUUUAGGAGAUUCCCGUUUUCUGUUUUUAUUCUUGUAUCAUUUCCAGUAACAAGCUUUGAUCAACAGUUUGUUGAAAGAGCCGAUGAUACAUUUUAGUUUGUGUGACGUCACUUUCAUUUGAAACUUGUGCUGUUAACAGGAGCGGCUGGCGCUGUCAUUGUGUUAAAUAAAUGAAGCAUAGAGAUUGAAGUUGUACUGGCCCAAAACUAGCUGCAUAAGUGUACGGAGAGAACUUAAUGAUAAGUGUACAUUACCAAUGUAGAAGUCUAGAUUCAGCUUUCUAGCAGAGAGUUUUACAAUUCAUGGGGGGGAAACGGUGAUUUCAACAACUUGCAGCUAUUAGAUGCUACGGGUAGCCCCGCCACGUGACUACAACAUCAAGACCAAGCCUGGAAAGGAAAACAAACAAAAUUUGUCUGGUUUCUGCUUCAUCAUAUUAAUGCAAGUCUUAAAGAUCGUCUUGACGUUUUGAAUGGAACUUUGCAUCUUUUACUGUUUGCACAAGAUGAGACUCACCCGCAAGAGCUAAUUGUCUAUUUGAAAACUAGUAGUGGAAAUGAAGAAUCAGUAUCUUAGGAAAGAAAUUUAUUUUGAAGCCAUGGAUAGGACAUCACCGCCAACCUUUUUCAGAUCAAUGUUUAUUCUUAAUGUUCAGUGGUAAAAUGUUAGAGAUCACUGACCUAAAUGUUAGAGAUCACUGACCCAAAUGUAUACCCGGUCUGUUACUUGUUUCAUUAGAAAGAUGUGUUGGUAGAUAACUGAUGUUUUGUUUCAUAAGAAAGAUGUGGUAGAUAACUGAUGUUUUGUUUCAUAAGAAAGAUGUGGUGGUAGAUAACUGAUGUUUUGUUUCAUAAGAAAGAUGUGGUGGUAGAUAACUGAUGUUUUGUUUCAUAAGAAAGAUGUGGUGGUAGAUAACUGAUGUUUUGUUUCAUUAGAAAGAUGUGUUGGUAGAUAACUGAUGUUUUGUUUCAUAAGAAAGAUGUGUUGGUAGAUAACUGAUGUUUUGUUUCAUUAGAAAGAUGUGUUGCUAGAUAACUGAUGUUUUGUUUCAUUAGAAAGAUGUGUUGCUAGAUAACUGAUGUUUUGUUUCAUAAGAAAGAUGUGUUGCUAGAUAACUGAUGUUUUGUUUCAUAAGAAAGAUGUGGUGGUAGAUAACUGAUGUUUUGUUUCAUUAGAAAGAUGUGUUGCUAGAUAACUGAUGUUUUGUUUCAAUAAAUAAAGUUUAUUAAGUGCAGA
rnacentral:sRNA from 1 species